GCUCAGUUGGUUAAGUAAGGGACUCCUGACUUCAGCUCAGGUCUUGAUCUCAGGGUCGUGAGUUCAAGCCCCACACUAGGCU
rnacentral:tRNA from 1 species